rnacentral:tRNA from 1 species
GAGAGUGUAGCUCAAGCAGUAGAGCACAUGCUUAGCAUGAAUGAGGUCCUGGGUUCAAUCCCCAGUACCUCCU